CUACCGGCUUUGCGGUGUGUUUAAGUCAACGUCCGCGCUGUUCCGGAGUGGACUGCGUUUCUCAUAGACCCUGGGGGAGUUUGUGAACCUCAUCCUCUGGUUCAUUUUCCUUUAUGCUUUCGGUCACCGUUUUCCUUGUGGGCAUGGGAACAAGGGACAGAAGGAGAGAGAAGGAAUCUUAAGCAGGCUCUGUGCUCAGCACAGAACCCAACAUGGGGCUCAGUCCCACAACCCUGGGAUCAUGACCUGAGCCAAAAUCAAGAGUCGGACACUCAACUGACAAGAUACCCAGAUUUGGAGUCCAGAUGUGAGACAAAGACGUUUUUAGGGGGAAAAAAAGGCUCUCAAUGCAAGGUAAUGGAAGGAAAAUCUUGACUUGGAGGAUUCCCAAUUCCAGAAAUAACUGGCAAAAUAAAAGCACGAUUUAGGCAAGGGUCUCAAGACUGAGAUCUUAGCUAAAUGGAAAUAAUGGCUGGAAAUGGAACCAAUUAUAAAAAAGCGAAUCCAAUAACAUGGAUGUCUGAUUUUUAUCUACCCCACUGCCCCCACCUCCCAUUUCAUUAAAAAUAAAACAACAGAAAACAGCUUUUUAUCUCUGUUCAGAUCAGAUCAUUUCUAUUGCUCCACCUUCAAGUUUGCUGGAUUCUCUCCUCUAUAAUCUCCAUUUGGCUAUUGAGCCCAUUUGCAUUUUUACCCUGAUAUGUUGGUGGAUUCCUUUGUGUUUCUACUACUUUGAAUUUGUCGAACUUCGUGGACACAUAAAUUAUGAUGACUAUUAAAUGAACAUUUGUUUACUGGAGCACAGACUGCUGGAUGGGGAGUCAUGGUUCAACAACAGAACACAGGAGAAAUUGAAAUAGAGAAGUGCAUUACAUGUCUUGGAGGAAGUACACAAGAGGCCAGAUGGGAAGGUCAAGGCAGAGUGCAGACAGAGAAAGUACAACAUGGGGCACAUGGCUUUAUUACAGUAGAGUGCUUUAUGGUUCCUGGGCUGGGGCUGGAUUGGUCAAUACAAACCAAAAGAAUAGUAUUUUAGUAAGACUCCCACAGGAGUCUUAUCUAAGGGGCACAUACAGAUGCUGGUAGCCUGAGGAGACUUGAUCAGAAGGCUGUUGGGAAAUCAUAUCAGGAACUUUCAUUUGCUGUGACUCUGCAGGCUGCUACCUAGGGUAUGUGCUUAUAUGAGGGGGUUAGUGUCAGUUGAAGAUUUUGGCAAGACACUUAGCCAAACGAAAUGUAUGCCAAAGCAGCAAUAUUAGUUUAGCUAAUGAUAAUAGUAAAUAAUAGCUAAUAAUAAUAGCUUAGCUAAACUCUCAUUAUUAUUGUAAAUAAAUUUGGGAAGUUUUGAAGUUUUUUUAAUGCUUUUUUUUCGAAACCUCUCUGUUCAUUCUGGUAUUCCCGUUAUGCAUAUAAUGGUGCACUUCACUAGUGCCCCACAUUUCUCUGUUCAUUUUUCCUUAUUAUUUUUUCUGUGCUUAAACCUGUAUACUCACUAAUGACCUAUCUUCAAGUUUGCUAAUUCUUUCUUCUGCUAAUUCAAAUCUUUUGAACCCUUCUAAUGAAAUUUUCAAUUCUGGGAUUUCCAUUUUCUAUCUUUGCGGUACUUGGCUGGCUUAGUUGGUACAGCAUGUGACUCUUGAUCUCAAGGUUGUGAAUUCACACCCCACAUUGGGAUGGAGCCUACUCAAAAAUUUUUUUCUAUCUUUAUUGCCACACCUUACUUGAUGUAGCAUUGCCACUAUUUCUUUAAUCAUGAUUCCCUUUUGUUCUUUGAAUAUAUUUAUAAUGGCUUCUUUGAAGUCUUUGUCUAUUAAAUCUGACAUCUGGUUGCUCUAUUAGGCAGUCUCUUUUUCUUUUUGCCAAAGCAGGAGUCAUAUUCUGUAGUUUCUUUGCAUGUCUUAUAAGUUUUCUGUUGGCAAAUAAGACAUUUUAGAUAAUAUAUUGUUAUUUCUGCAUUCAUCUGCUUAGGAAAAUGUCAGAGGAGAAGGAUAUCCUCAAGAAAAGAUAGAAGUAGGGCUUGAGAUAUUCCAUGGCUACAAAGACCAGUUAGGGGUGUAAAUGGACCAAAAAAGAAAAAAAAAUUAAAGAUGUUUUUUAAAAGUAAAAAGGAUAUAAGGUUUGAUUCUGGGAAACUACUGUUUGGCUUCAUGGUUUAAAACUUGUUCAAAAGUACAACAUUCAUUUGGGCUUUAUGAUAGAAUAUCUGUUGUAUAUUGCAUCACUUUCUUUCCUGCCUCAAUGUGGAAAUUAAAGAGGGAGGAAUAGGCAAACCGGGAAUAUAGAAGGGCUGACCUAUUGCAGCUGUAGGUACUGUCACUCCUAGUUGGUGGGAAAAAGAGAGCAAGAGAAGGGGAAAUAGUUUUGAAUGUUUGGUCUCAUGAAUACUUUGCAACCUCUCAUUAUUUUACUGUAUUUUAGGGCUUUUUCAUAGAAAAUUUGUAUACACUGUAUACAUAGGUAUGAAAAAUAUCAACUGACCUUAUUAGUUAAGUACCCCUUAAUAUGCUCCAGCACUAAGCAAACAUUAAUUCAUUUUGUCUACAUAUUUACCUUUCCUGGAUAUCUCCUGUAAAAAGAAUUAUACAACAUGUGGUACUUUGUGACUAGUUUCUUUUAUUUACCCUAAAGUUUUGAAGAUUCAAGUUAUAGCACGUAUCCUUUUCAUUUCUUUUUAUUGUUGAAUAAUGUUACCUUGUAUGGGUAUGCCACAUUUUGUUUAUCCAUUCAUCAGUUGAUGGAUAUUUGGGUUGUUUCCAUGUUUUGGCUGUUAUGAAUAAUGCUGCUGUGAACAUAUGUACAUGUUUUAUGUGGACAUAUAUUUUCAUUUCUCUUGAUUAUAUACAUGGGGGUGGAAUUGUGGAUCUAUGUUUACCCAUUUGAGGAACUGCCAGAUUCUUUUCCACAGUAACUGCACCAUUUUAUAUUGUCUAGUUGUGUAUGAGUUUUGAUUUCCCCAUGUCCUUGCCAAUACUUAUUACCUUUAUAUUUGAUUCUAGCACAUCCUUGUGUGUAGUAUCUUAUUAUUUUGCUUUCCAUUUCGCUGUUGGCUAAAGGUCCUGGGAUUUUAUUAUACCUUUAUGCAUAAAGAAAGUAAACAGAAUUCCCUUAACAUAAAAAUAUUUUAACUAUUUAUGGCUUUCAGUAAAACACAGAUGACAGUUUAAACGUUAUUACCUGGGCAGCAAAUAAUGAAAUAAAUAACUAAUAGGUUUACAGAUUUAGAAAGUAAGGGACAGGAGAGCGAGGCUAAUAUUCAUUUAAUGUUCUCAAUUUAACACUUUAUUAUAUCAGUUUCUUUGAAAUAAAUU